ensembl:lncRNA
AGCGGAGGCAAGGGGGUUUUGCUGGAGAUCCCCGCCCACCUGAAGACUUCUAAAGCUCUCCAUUGGAGUGGUUCCCUGUGGUGGGUAGGAUGGAGAUGUGGUAUUUGAGGGCGCCUGUGCCGUGCUAUGCCAUUCCACGCCGUGCUGUCUUGUGCUGUGCCAAGCUGUGCCAUGCUAUACAAUGCUGGCAGCAGAGAUGGAGGCUUGGUAAUGCAGCCCCACUGCACAUUGGGGAGUGAUGGCCCAGUGUAGGUCCAAUGAAGAUCGUGGAUUUUUUCUUGGCUUUUUGAAGAGUCUCCUGGCUGCAGUGUGUUGGGGUUACUCUUAAAGUCCCCCACUAUGGGUGACCCUGCUGAGACACAGCUGCCAGCACAGCAGGGAAAGCUUCCUCUGCCUGUCCUGGUGGGAGGACAGCUCUCCACAGAUGUGAGGCUGAUGAAGCUUAUGUCUGUGUUCAGGUUGUAAAUACUUUCUGAUGACAUCUUGGG